rnacentral:rRNA from 1 species
UACGUAGGGUGCGAGCGUUGUCCGGAAUUAUUGGGCGUAAAGAGCUUGUAGGCGGUUUGUCGCGUCUGCCGUGAAAAUCCGGGGCUCAACCCCGGACUUGCGGUGGGUACGGGCAGACUAGAGUGUGGUAGGGGAGACUGGAAUUCCUGGCGUAGCGGUGAAAUGCGCAGAUAUCAGGAGGAACACCGAUGGCGAAGGCGGCCAUCUGGACGGAUACUGACGCUGAGACGCGAAAGCGUGGGGAGCAAACAGG